rnacentral:rRNA from 1 species
UAAUACGGAGGGUCUAAGCGUUAUCCGGAAUCAUUGGGUUUAAAGGGUCCGUAGGCGGGCUAAUAAGUCAGAGGUGAAAUCCCACAGCUUAACUGUGGCACUGCCUUUGAUACUGUUAGUCUUGAGUCAUAAUGAGGUAGAUGGAAUGUGUAGUGUAGCGGUGAAAUGCAUAGAUAUUACACAGAACACCGAUUGCGAAGGCAGUCUACUAAUUAUGUACUGACGCUGAGGGACGAAAGCGUGGGUAGCGAACAGGAUUAGAUACCCUGGUAGUCCACGCCGUAAACGAUGGAUACUAGCUGUUGGUUUGACUUCGGUUGAAUCAGUGGCCAAGCAAAAGUGAUAAGUAUCCCACCUGGGGAGUACGUUCGCAAGAAUG